rnacentral:lncRNA from 1 species
CUUCCCAUCCAAGUAAUACAUAUAUGAAAUUUUAUAUUUGAAGCACAAACUGUUAAUGCGUCUGUCGAGAUAUCACCUUUCUAAUUUCGAUAUCUAAGUCUAUAUUUGACAUUCACAGUUACUAGAAAUGAGUUCCAUUAGUAUAACUCUAGUAAAUAUAUAUAUAUGUUAUUAAAUUUUAUAAUUUAACAAUUUUUUUUGUGAAAAUGACUGAUAUUAAUAUUAACAGGCUUAAAAGGAGUAGCUAAAAGGCCACCAAAACAGACAAAAAAGAAAAUCACAACUGUCCAAUAUAAAAGAAAAUUAAAAACUACGCCUAGAAAGUAACGAAACAUCAAUAAGCAAAAAAUGCGUGAGCCUGCAACAAAACUUUUCAAUCUCCAUUAUCAGCCACAGCAGGGCUCCAUUUCCUUCGUAUUAUCGAUCAGAGACCCAGAGCCAGCAACGCUUUGCAAACAAUAUUAGAGAUUCAAUGAACCUUCUCUAACUCAAAGCGAACAUAUGGAACUUAGGUCCGUUGGCACCAUCGUAACCAGUCUUCCUCCACCACCAGUCGCACAGUCUCCGGUAUUCCAUUAACCCAGGCCCCACACACUUUCCGAUGUCGACUUUCCACUGCCAAAAUAUGGGCUACAGCGUUAAGCGGACGGUUCACAAACUUGUAAGAGACUUCAUCAAAGCCCUGGCGCAAUCUAUGAAUAUUAUGAACAAUCGACCUAAUAAUCGAUCUAUCUUCCUCAUUUUUAAUCAGUUUUUUAAUGACUGUCAGGGAGUCCCCUUCCACAAUCAACCGUUGAAAGCCCUUCAAUUUUGCGAGGAUCAGCGCUCUUUCACAAGCUCGUGCUUCCGCCACGAAUGCGUCAUCCACACCUUCCACCAGAUAAGUAACUGCUUCUAUAACUUCCCCUCUGUGAUUUCUGGCUAAGAUUGCUAUUGUCGCAAAAUUAUUUCCUGAAAUAUACGACGCAUCAAAAUUAAUUUUAAUAAAACCAUAGUCAGGAGGCCUCCAGACUUCAUUUCUCAUAAGAGCAGUAGAAUCACAUAGAUUCUCACGAACAAGCCAUGGAUCUCGCUCAUAGCCCCUGAUAAAUCCCAAUAGUUGUGGCAUAGAAAGCUUAAUCCCCUCAUGAACCAACUUAUUUCUAUGAAACCAGAAACACCAAAGAGUUAAAGCAAUAAACCUUUUUUUCGACCUUCUGCUUCAAGAUAUGUUUUAACAAAAUUAGCCUUAUAAUCCAGGGAAUCGUCCAAAGGGGGAAUUUGAACUUGCAACGAUGUCCAUAUAUUUCGAAGGACCCUACAAGACCCCAACAAAUGCGCUGUGGUUUCUAGAUCUUCCUUACACAGUGGGCAUACAGCCUCCUCACAUAGUGUUCGGCGUGCCAAGUUCCCAUAGUGUGGCACCAUGUUAUUGAACAAUCUCCAAACAUGUAUUUUUAUUUUCUCUGGAAUAUGCAAAGCCCAGAUAUCCAUGUAAAAACUUUUGUAUUAUUCAUUUGUAGAGGACAUGUGUAGAUUGCUCUGUAAAUAAUCUGUAAUAAGAACUCGAUACCCACUCCUGACAGUAUACUCACCUGAGCCUUCAUACUUCCAUACCAACAUAUUCUCUGGUCGGCUUUCAGAGAUGGGAAUGUCAAAGAUUCGAUUAGCAGUGUUAUCAUCCACUAGAUUGUGAAUCAACUCUCUAUUCCAGGUACUGUCUUCUUCAUUCAUUAACUAAUUCACUGUUGACCAAGGAGGCUUAAUUUCAAUAACUGGGAUUCUGUUAUUCUCUCUUCCAGGCAGCCAGGGGUCAUUCCAAAUGUUGAUACUUGCACCAUUUCCUACACGCCACAAGAUUCCAUCACUGAUCAGGUCCCGCGCACUACAAAUACUUCUCCAAGUAAAUGAAGGGUAAGAACCAACCUUUGCUGUUAGUAUAGUGGAAAGAGGGAAAUAACGGGCUUUUAAAACCUUGGCUAAUAAACAAUGGGGCUAGGUUAAAAUACGCCACACCUGCUUCGUUAAAAGGGCCUUAUUAAACAAGAAUAAAUUUUUAAACCCCAGCUCUCUAAAACUUUUCGGUUUAUACAGAACAUCCCACGAACUCCAAUGAAUCCCCUUCGAUGUUUUAUUAUUCGUCCACCAGAAUCGAUUCAUUAUUCCUUCCAAUGUUUUACAUAAUGACUUUGGCAAUAAAAAACACUGCAUAGCAUAAAUUGAAGUUGACUGCAAAACUGAUUUAAUGAAAACCUCCUUAUCCCCCAUUGAAAGAUAACGCAUACUCCACCCCUCCACCCAUUUUCUGAAUCGGUCCACAAAGUUAGCAAAAGCCCACUUUUUCCUCCUACCCACCAUCAUAGGCAAACCGAGAUACUUUUCAGGAUUUGAGGCCAGACGUACCCUUAAUAAAUUAACAAUAUCCUUCUGAACACUAGAGACGACAUUUGUAGCGAAAUAAAUGAGGGAUUUUUCAAAAUUCACUCUCUGCCCCGAGACCGUCUCAUAUUCAUGGAUAAUAGCCCGAACCACUUCAGCUCCUUCACAGGAGGCAUCACCAAAAAGAAUGCAAUCAUCUGCAAAAAAUAAGUGGUUGACCGAAAACUUCUCUCUACCUAUAGGUGCCCCCAUCAUCAUCCAUUUAGUUUUAGCUUCCUGAAUGAGCAGCGAAAACCCUUCAGCACAAAUCAAGAAUAAAUAAGGACUAAGAGGGUCUCCUUGUCUGAGUCCUCUCGAUGGUGUGAACCAGUCCCCGCUAGCUCCAUUAAUACUAAUAGAGUACGUGACAGAGCAUACACAACGCAUGACAAGAACGAUCCAAUCCUCAUGAAAACCCAGGUGCUUCAUCAUACCUGCCAAAAAAUCCCAUUCCACACGAUCAUACGAUUUACUCAUAUCUAGUUUAAACGCAAAGUUGUCUUUCUUACCUCUCUUUUUCAUUUUUAGGGAAUGAAGUAUCUCAUAAGCAAUCAGUACAUUAUCAGAUAUAAGCCUACCUGGAAUAAAGGCCUUUUGAGCUUCAUUAAUACAAGACCCCAGUGUUUCGCUCAUCCUCAAUACCAACACUUUUGCUAUAAUUUUGUAAAUGACAUUACAAAGCCUGAUAGGCCUAAAAUGAGUCAUGUUACUCGAUUUUUCAACCUUUGGAAUCAGGAUAAUGCGCGUUUUGUUAAUAACACUCAAAUCCUCUUGUCCCUGUAGAACGGAUAAACAAAAGCGGGUAACCUCAGGCCCAACAAUGUGCCAAUAACGCUGAAAGAAGAGGGCCAGAAACCCAUCCAACCUAGGGGCUUUCAAAGGCGUCAAGGAUUUGACUGCAUAGACAAUGUCCUCCUCCGUAAAUUGUCUUAAGAGCCUUUCAUUCAUACUACUAGUAACUUUUUCCUCUACUAAGCUAAACAAAUGCUCAUCCGAACCUGACUCUGAAGCAGAGAAAAGCUUACCAAAAUAGUCAGAAGCUACCUGGAGGAACUCCUCAGUGGAAUUAGUACUUCUCCCAGCUCCAUCUUCUAGUUCAGAAAUUCUACAACGAAAGUGACGUUGGACAGCUACCUUGUGAAAAAAGCUGGUAUUACGAUCCCCAUUCUUUAGCCAAUUCACCCACGCACGCUGCUCCUAAAAUAAUUCCUCCUUUUCAGCUUCCAACUUAACCCCCAAUUGGACCUCUAUAAUCUCAGCUAGAACUUCAUCUGACGGAUCUUGAGUGUAAAGAUUCAUUAAUCUGUCUUCUAAACGGAACCGAUUCCUCCGCUCCUUAAUACUAUUCACCUUGCUCCAUUUUAGUAUUUGAGAACCCAUUUUCUCCAACUUACUCAGUACACCUCCAGAUUUUUUUCCCAUCAUCUCCUAAUCAUGCCUUCAAAUGAGCCCUCUAAACACCACUUAGCCUCAAAUCGAAAAGACUUCUCAUACUUAUUUUGACGGUUCUAUACUCCCCCUAGAGUAUCCAGAAGAAUAGGGCAAUGGUCAGAAAACGAGUGACUCAAAUGUUCCAGACGAUAUCCAGGAAAAGUAUUCAUCCAGCUCAAUGAAGCAACACCACGAUCCAGACGUUCCCUUAGAUUAGUCGAUGCAUAUCGUCCUCGUUCCCAUGUGAACCAUCUGCCAACAAAGCCUAAAUCAUUAAGGCAACAAUCUUCGAGAACCCCGCGAAAAUCCCUCAUUUGUCCAAUUGGUCUGAGGCGACCACCCUUAUUCUCAAAGGAAUCCAUAAUUUCGUUGAAAUCCCCCAUCACCACCCAAGGCAUAUCCUGAUCUUGAUCUUGAUGCAACUGGCGUAGCAAAUUCCGCGAAUCACCUCUGCGUCUUCCAUCUGGAUGCCCAUAGAAACCAGCGAACCUCCAAACAUUUCCACACUCAUUAUCAUGUACCUCUGCGUCUUUCAAAUAUUUCCUUUCCAACCUAACGACAAACCCCCUUUCGUACCAACUGGACCAAUAUCGAUGUUAUUCUCAAAACCGUACUUUAAUCUUACCAACUCCAUUUUCUUUGAACAUAAUUUCAUCUUUAUAAGAAACAAAAUUCGGGGAUUAAUGGCUCUUAACUUGUUUUUUAGCCUUAUAACUGUUCGUGGUCUCCCCAAACCACGAACGUUCCAACUUAGGAUUUUCAUCGAGCCCGGUUGCUCUGAUUUUCAGAGCUAGCCGAAACAUUCAUAGAUCCAGAUCCCACAUUAGCAUCCAACAGAACACGUGACCUAUCCACUAUUCGCUGUCGCUUUUUCCCCUCAGACAACUCUAAUGACUCAUUUUUCUCCUCCAAAUCCAACUCCAUUUCCCCCUGAACGAUCCCAUUUGCAGUCAAAUUAUCUAUACACCCAUCUCGCUUCUGAACAAUUCUACCACUGCCUUGAAUUGGAUCAGGACCUAAAGGAAUUAGAUUAGGAUUUAAGUUCCUACCAGAAUCCCUUGCAUUACCAUACAUGACGCCUGCCAAAUUUUCCUCACUAUACGGAGAUCCAUCUAUUGCCCGCAGCCACCUACUUAUCGCCACAUUUCGACGCCUGACCACAGCACGCAGCGAUAAAUCCCAGCCAAAGACUAUUUUUGACGGUUCAAUAGUCAGUCUAAUAGGGCAGUAACUUUCCCCGUGCCCGAGUUUUCCGCAAAUAAAGCAAAAUAAACUUAAUUUCUCAUACUUAAAUCUAGCAUAAACCACCAUAGAUUUCCCUAUCAAAACUUUCUUUUUUCACUUCAACAGGGCAGCAACAUUUAAACAGAUACGAAUACGCAUAUAAUGUUGAAUUCCCAAAGUCGGGAUGUGUAACACCCCUUAACCCCGAACCGUCGCCGGAACAGAAUUACGAGGCAUUACCGGACGUAUCGAACGAUUUACAACAAUUCUUAAAUAAAUAACCAAUAUAUUAAAAUAAUUCAUAAAAUUUAUUAAUUUGUUUACCAAAUGACUUCAUUUUUUUUUAUAAAAAUUUCGGCAGCAUUUCUGCUUAUUUUUACAUAAACCCCCCUGCAAAUUAAAACCAUAUAGUUCCCAAAUAUCAUCAAUUCAACCAAUUCAUUUCACAUUCACAUUUUCUAUUCUAAAUACUUCUAAUCAAACUCAAUCUACACAAUAUCAAUUUAAAAUUUAACAAUGUACUAAUUAGAUAAAAUAGAUAGACUUCUUUCAUUAAAAUCCAUAAACUUUUAAUACUAACAUUUUUAACCAUUAUAUAAUAAAACAUAAUAACCUUUAUACACAAUCUAUGUACAUGCCACCUUUACCAAAGGAAAAAUACAUCACCAAGUUUUGCCGAAGCCGGGAUUAAUCUGGAUGCUGAACCGGGACCAUUGACUUCUAUUGACCUGCGCACGGAAACAACCGUACGCUGAGUAAUCCAUACUCAGUGGUAUUACCAUAAUUCAAAUUAUAACAAUAAUGUACAUGUAAUGCAUAAAUCGUAUAUACAAUUUAAAUUAAAUAUUUCAACAAUAGCAAUUCAUCAACCAAUAUCGUAUAUCCACAAUUUGAGUUUGAAUAAUUCACGAACCUUAGGUUCAUUUCUCAAUCUUAUUUCACAUUUCAAUUCACAAUUCAACUUUUUCAUAUCAUUUCAAUAGCUCGUUUGACCAACUCGUUCGGUUUAUCAUUUCAUCAUUUACCCUAUUAACAAAACUCGGACUUUGGCGGAUACACGGAUCCAACCAAACACACCAGAAUGGCACCCAGUGCCUCAUCGGAUAGUUCGAAGCAAUAGUUGACACCCAGUGUCUCAUCAGCAAAGCCGAAGAAAGUUGGUACCCAGUACCUCAUCGAAUCUAUCCGAAGAAAUAUAGUGACACCCAGUGUCUCAUCGACUCGAGGUCGAAGUAUCCCUGAACUCUUCCAAUCCUAUGGCAUGCCAACUAUAUCCGACUCAGCCCGACUAGUUAAUAGGGUAUUUAAAUCACAUAUAUUCUCAAUUCAAUUACAAUUUUUCACAUUUUCAAUUCAAUCAUUUUUCCACCUUUCAAUCAAUAAUUAUUUCACAACUUCACACAUUUUCACAACUCAAUACAUUUCCAUACAACUUAAUACCAUUCACAAUUCGAUUCAAAUUCAUUUCCCGCUUUCAAUCAACAAACAAUUUAAAUAUUAUUUCAUAUCAACUAUUCAAUUUAAUUCCCACUCAUAAUAAUAAUAAUAAUACUAAUAAUAAUACUAAUACUAAUAUUAAUACUUACCUCACAUUUCAUUUACUAGACACAUAAAUUAAAAUUUAACAUUAAAAAAAUAAAUAAUUUGAAUUAUAGUAAUACAAACCGUAAUUUUCUCGAGUUUACUCCUCGAUAAUCUUCUCUUUUCCCUUCCGUGCCGACGCUUCUGGUUCUUUGCUAGCUACGAAAAUGAUAAUAAUUUAUACUAUUAAUUUCAGCACUAAUUAUGAUAAUAAUUAAAUUUCUAUUCAAUUUCUUCCUUAUUCUCAAUUUAAUCCUAACUAAAUUCACUUACUUUCCUAAUUCAAUUCACACUCUAUUUCUAUUCAAAUUUCAUCCAAACUAAAAUUUAACUAUCAAAAUUUCAGCAUAUUUUGGUAAUUUUGAAUUUCCCUCAAUUUAGUCCCUAAAACAUAAAACUUAUAGUUUCUUUUAUAAUUUAAUCCCUUUUUCAAUUCUAACUUAAAAUUCCUUCAAGUUAAUCCCUAAUUCAUCUCUUUUGUUCAACAUAAACUAUACUUGAAAACCUAUGAACUUACAAAAUAUCAACUUAAUUCCAUCAAAACUUUGUUUUAAAGCUUUUAGAACAUUAGAAUUAAGAGGAAAGGGCUAAUUUGACUUACCAAAUUAAAUUCAAGCUUCAAAAACCAUAUUUUCCCUUUUUCUUUUUCUUUCUUUCUUUCUCCCCUGUUUCGUCUCUUUCUCUGUUCCUUUGUUCUUUCUAUUCUGUUUCUUUUCUGUUUUGUUUCUUUCUUUUUCUUUUUAUUUCCUUUUAUUUAAUUACUUUAAUAUAAUAAUAAUUAAAACAAAUAUCUACUUAGUAAUUAAUAAAAAUAUUAAAAAUGUAUGUAUUUUAUUAAUACACUUGUAUUAAAUUAUCACCAUACAUUUUUCUUUAUUUAAUUUAUUUCUUAAUAUAAUAUUUAUAAUGUAAUUAAUUUAAUAUUAUACUUUAUAAUUAAUUUAUAUAUUUAUAUAAAUAAUAAUAUAAAAAUCUAAGAUUUUUACAAUGUUAUGCCGCCUCAACUUCCAAAUGUGGCUUAAUUGCCCAUUUGGUCCCUAUUAUUUUCCUUUAAUCUAUAAUUAUGCUUUCACUCUUUAUUCAAUUUAAUCCUUUUUACUAAUUACUCAUAAUUAAACUAAAUUCACCUAUCUAAAACUUAAUUAAACACACAACUAGUCUCGUAAAUAUUUCUAAUAAUUAUUUUCGGACUCAAUUUACUAGGACGGAGGCCCGAUAUUAUACUUUUCCGAUGCCCAUGAAUUUUGGGUCAUUACAUUUCUCCCCCUCUUAAUAAAUUUCGUCCUCGAAAUUUACCUGAGAAGAGAUGAGGAUAUUGUGCUCUCAUUGCCUCUUCCGGUUCCCAAGUUGCUUCUUCCACACUAUGGCUUCUCCAUAAAACUUUUACUAAAGGAACCCGUUUAUUUCUUAAUUCUUUCACUUCUCGUGCUAAUAUUUGAACUGGU